AACGCUGGCGGCGUGCCUAAUACAUGCAAGUCGAACGAGUUCUCGUUGAUGAUCGGUGCUUGCACCGAGAUUCAACAUGGAACGAGUGGCGGACGGGUGAGUAACACGUGGGUAACCUGCCCUUAAGUGGGGGAUAACAUUUGGAAACAGAUGCUAAUACCGCAUAGAUCCAAGAACCGCAUGGUUCUUGGCUGAAAGAUGGCGUAAGCUAUCGCUUUUGGAUGGACCCGCGGCGUAUUAGCUAGUUGGUGAGGUAAUGGCUCACCAAGGCGAUGAUACGUAGCCGAACUGAGAGGUUGAUCGGCCACAUUGGGACUGAGACACGGCCCAAACUCCUACGGGAGGCAGCAGUAGGGAAUCUUCCACAAUGGACGCAAGUCUGAUGGAGCAACGCCGCGUGAGUGAAGAAGGCUUUCGGGUCGUAAAACUCUGUUGUUGGAGAAGAAUGGUCGGCAGAGUAACUGUUGUCGGCGUGACGGUAUCCAACCAGAAAGCCACGGCUAACUACGUGCCAGCAGCCGCGGUAAUACGUAGGUGGCAAGCGUUAUCCGGAUUUAUUGGGCGUAAAGCGAGCGCAGGCGGUUUUUUAAGUCUGAUGUGAAAGCCCUCGGCUUAACCGAGGAAGCGCAUCGGAAACUGGGAAACUUGAGUGCAGAAGAGGACAGUGGAACUCCAUGUGUAGCGGUGAAAUGCGUAGAUAUAUGGAAGAACACCAGUGGCGAAGGCGGCUGUCUGGUCUGUAACUGACGCUGAGGCUCGAAAGCAUGGGUAGCGAACAGGAUUAGAUACCCUGGUAGUCCAUGCCGUAAACGAUGAAUGCUAGGUGUUGGAGGGUUUCCGCCCUUCAGUGCCGCAGCUAACGCAUUAAGCAUUCCGCCUGGGGAGUACGACCGCAAGGUUGAAACUCAAAGGAAUUGACGGGGGCCCGCACAAGCGGUGGAGCAUGUGGUUUAAUUCGAAGCAACGCGAAGAACCUUACCAGGUCUUGACAUCUUUUGAUCACCUGAGAGAUCAGGUUUCCCCUUCGGGGGCAAAAUGACAGGUGGUGCAUGGUUGUCGUCAGCUCGUGUCGUGAGAUGUUGGGUUAAGUCCCGCAACGAGCGCAACCCUUAUGACUAGUUGCCAGCAUUUAGUUGGGCACUCUAGUAAGACUGCCGGUGACAAACCGGAGGAAGGUGGGGAUGACGUCAAAUCAUCAUGCCCCUUAUGACCUGGGCUACACACGUGCUACAAUGGAUGGUACAACGAGUUGCGAGACCGCGAGGUCAAGCUAAUCUCUUAAAGCCAUUCUCAGUUCGGACUGUAGGCUGCAACUCGCCUACACGAAGUCGGAAUCGCUAGUAAUCGCGGAUCAGCACGCCGCGGUGAAUACGUUCCCGGGCCUUGUACACACCGCCCGUCACACCAUGAGAGUUUGUAACACCCGAAGCCGGUGGCGUAACCCUUUUAGGGAGCGAGCCGUCUAAGGUGGGACAAAUGAUUAG
rnacentral:rRNA from 2 species